rnacentral:rRNA from 1 species
GGGUGGUAAAUUUCAUCUAAAGCUAAAUACUGGCUGGAGACCGAUAGCGCACAAGUAGAGUGAUCGAAAGAUGAAAAGCACUUUGGAAAGAGAGUCAAAAAGUACGUGAAAUUGUUGAAAGGGAAGCGCUUGCAACCAGACCUGUCCGUGGGUGAUCAGCCGCCGUUCUCGGUGGUGCACUCGCCUACGAUCAGGCCAGCAUCGGUUCGGGCGGCCGGACAAAGGCCUUGGGAAUGUAGCUCCUCUCGGGGAGUCUUAUAGCCCUCGGUGCAAUGUGGCCAGCCCGGACCGAGGACCGCGCUUCGGCUAGGAUGCUGGCGUAAUGGUUGUAAGCGACCCGUCUUGAAACACGGACCAAGGAGUCUAACAUCUAUGCGAGUGUUUGGGUGUUAAACCCAUACGCGGAAUGAAAGUGAACGGAGGUGAGAACCCUUUAGGGCGCAUCAUCGACCGAUCCAGAUGUCUUCGGAUGGAUUUGAGUAUGAGCAUAGCUGUUGGGACCCGAAAGAUGGUGAACUAUGCCUGAAUAGGGUGAAGCCAGAGGAAACUCUGGUGGAGGCUCGCAGCGG